rnacentral:misc_RNA from 1 species
GAUGAAGAACGUAGCGAACCGCGAUAAGUAAUGUGAAUUGCAGAAUUCAGUGAAUCAUCGAGUCUUUGAACGCACAUUGCGCCCCCUGGCAUUCCGGGGGGCAUGCCUGUCCGAGCGUCAUUGCUGCCCUUCAAGCCCGGCUUGUGUGUUGGGUCGUCGUCCCCCCCGGGGGACGGGCCCGAAAGGCAGCGGCGGCACCGCGUCCGGUCCUCGAGCGUAUGGGGCUUUGUCACCCGCUCGAUUAGGGCCGGCCGGGCGCCAGCCGGCGUCUCCAACCUUCUAUUUUACCAGGUUGACCUCGGAUCAGGUAGGGAUACCCGCUGAACUUAAGCAUAUCAAUAAGCGGAGGA